rnacentral:rRNA from 1 species
UGCCAGCCGCCGCGGUAACACGGGGGGCGCAAGCGUUAUUCGGAAUUAUUGGGCUUAAAGGGUGCGUAGGCGGUGCGGAAAGUUGGGUGUGAAAUCCCUCGGCUCAACCGAGGAACUGCGCCCAAAACUGCCGUGCUUGAGGAAGACAGAGGUGAGCGGAACUAAGGGUGGAGCGGUGAAAUGCGUUGAUAUCCUUAGGAACACCGGUGGCGAAAGCGGCUCACUGGGUCUUUUCUGACGCUGAGGCACGAAAGCUAGGGGAGCGAACGGGAUUAGAUA